rnacentral:rRNA from 1 species
AUUGAACGCUGGCGGCAUGCCUUACACAUGCAAGUCGAACGGCAGCACGGGAGCAAUCCUGGUGGCGAGUGGCGAACGGGUGAGUAAUAUAUCGGAACGUGCCCAGUCGUGGGGGAUAACGUAGCGAAAGCUACGCUAAUACCGCAUACGAUCUAUGGAUGAAAGCGGGGGAUCGCAAGACCUCGCGCGAUUGGAGCGGCCGAUAUCAGAUUAGGUAGUUGGUGAGGUAAAGGCUCGCCAAGCCGACGAUCUGUAGCUGGUCUGAGAGGACGACCAGCCACACUGGGACUGAGACAGGCCCAGACUCCUACGGGAGGCAGCAGUGGGGAAUUUUUGGACAAUGGGCGCAAGCCUGAUCCAGCAAUGCCGCGUGCAGGAUGAAGGCCUCGGUUGUAAC